rnacentral:rRNA from 1 species
UACGAAGGGGGCUAGCGUUGCUCGGAAUCACUGGGCGUAAAGGGUGCGUAGGCGGGUCUUUAAGUCAGGGGUGAAAUCCUUGAGCUCAACUCCAGAACUGCCUUUGAUACUGAGGAUCUUGAGUUCGGGAGAGGUGAGUGGAACUGCGAGUGUAGAGGUGAAAUUCGUAGAUAUUGGGAGGAACACCAGUGGCGAAGGCGACUCGCUGGACCGGUUCUGACGCUGAGGCGCGAAAGCGUGGGGAGCAAACAGG